AUCCAACUGACGAAUCGGAAAUAAGACGAAAGGAGCAUCUUGGAU
rnacentral:hammerhead_ribozyme from 1 species